rnacentral:misc_RNA from 1 species
UACGGAGGGUGCAAGCGUUAUUCGGAAUUACUGGGCGUAAAGCGCGCGUAGGUGGUUUGGUAAGUUGGAUGUGAAAGCCCCGGGCUCAACCUGGCAACUGCAUCCCAAACUGGCAAGCUAGAGGACGGUAGAGGGAGGUGGAAUUUCCUGUGUAGCGGUGAAAUGCGUAGAUAUAGGAAGGAACACCAGUGGCGAAGGCGACCACCUGGACUGAUACUGACACUGAGGUGCGAAAGCGUGGGUAGCAAACAGG